ensembl:lncRNA
ACGUGGUUUUGACUACACACUGUGAAAAAUCGUCUGUGUUAGUGAGAGCAAUUAGGAACUCUGUGUUAUGCAUAGAAGAGUUUUCUUUCUCACAUGCUUGCAUGAAAAAUUACAGGGGUGAAAUAAAUACGCACCUUUUAAGUCAUUGCCUGAAGGUAGAAAUAACUCUUUUCAUUUGUUUCGGGGUCUUAUCUCCAUAAUCGUUCAAUUUAUGAACUUUCGCCUGUAAUCAACAAUCACAGAAUCAAUUCAACACAGCACAGCACGUCACACUGUGGUCACAGUCUGGGAUAUCUGGGAACCUGCGCGAGUAAGAAGUGCGUCGUCUCGCCAAAGGACGAAUGGACCGGAGACGUCUGGUAUCAGAAAUGGACUAACACGCACUGGCAUAUGGAUGGUAUACUGGCCAACAGUCACGAUUUCAGGGCAGGACAGAGGGCCUCCCCUUGUAUGAGCAUCAUGCAGUAGAGCAGAGAGCGGCUACUUCAACCAGAGUGUGUGGGAGUGAAAGGACCCGAGGGCGUCAUGGCUGUCUUUAAAUUAGAGAAUGUGGAGGACCUGUACGAGAUCGGGGAGGUGCUGGGCAGGUUAGAGACCAUUUUAACAAACCAUUAAUAGAGUUCUUAAAUUCCUGUGGUAUAUCGUAUAUAUAAACUACAGAAUGUAGAGGACCUGUAUGAGAUCGGUGAGGUGCUGGGCAGGUGAGAGACCAUUUUAACAAACCAUUAAUAGAGUUCUUAAAUUCCUGUGGUAUAUCGUAUAAAACCUACACAAGCUAAGGUUGUCUUGGUAUGUGGCCAUGUUUGGCCAGCAAGGUUGAAGGUUGAGGUCAGUCGAGUCGGC